GUAAGCUGAAGUGCAGUUAACGGUUUAUAAUAAACUGAGGAAACUCCACCCACUAUACAGAAAUCAGGAUGUUUUUAAUUAACAUACAUUGAGAAUUGUGACCCUAGUAUAGAAACGAUACAACUUUCAUUAUUGCUUUGAAAAAUGAUACAAAUAAGUUGAUGAUGCUUAUGAAAGUUGGUGAAACGACUAAUCCCUGAAGUGCAAGAGUAUAAUUAUUGUCACUUAAUAAUAUUUUCUGUAAUAUAAAUGACAAGGUAACUCGCUACAAGAUUAAUACUGCAAGAUUAAUAUCUAACAUAAGGUGGGUUACUCUCAGCAGGC
rnacentral:RNase_P_RNA from 1 species